GUUGAACGCUGGCGGCAGGCCUACACAUGCAAGUCGAGCGGAUGAAGAGAGCUUGCUCUCUGAUUCAGCGGCGGACGGGUGAGUAAUGCCUAGGAAUCUGCCUGGUAGUGGGGGACAACGUUUCGAAAGGAACGCUAAUACCGCAUACGUCCUACGGAAGAAAGUGGGGGAUCUUCGGACCACACGCUAUCAGAUGAGCCUAGGUACGAUUAGCUAGUUGGUGAGGUAAAGGCUCACCAAGGCGACGAUCGUUAACUGGUCUGAGAGGAUGAUCAGUCACACUGGAACUGAGACACGGUCCAGACUCCUACGGGAGGCAGCAGUGGGGAAUAUUGGACAAUGGGCGAAAGCCUGAUCCAGCCAUGCCGCGUGUGUGAAGAAGGUCUUCGGAUUGUAAAGCACUUUAAGUUGGGAGGAAGGGCAGUAAGUUAAUACCUUGCUGUUUUGACGUUACCGACAGAAUAAGCACCGGCUAACUUCGUGCCAGCCGCCGCCGUAAUAC
rnacentral:rRNA from 1 species